rnacentral:rRNA from 1 species
CCAGGUACGUCUGGUGAUUCAUGAUAACUUGUCGAAGCGCAUGGCUUUUGCUGGCGCUGGUUCAUUCAAAUUUCUGCCCUAUCAACUUUCGAUGGUACGGUAGUGGCCUACCAUGGUAGCAACGGGUAACGGGGAAUUAGGGUUCGAUUCCGGAGAGGGAGCCUGAGAAACGGCUACCACAUCCAAGGAAGGCAGCAGGCGCGCAAAUUACCCAAUCCUGACACAGGGAGGUAGUGACAAUAAAUAACGAUACAGGGCCUUUGGUCUUGUAAUCGGAAUGAGAACAAUUUAAACCACUUAUCGAGGAACAAUUGGAGGGCAAGUCUGGUGCCAGCAGCCGCGGUAAUUCCAGCUCCAAUAGCGUAUGUUAAAGUUGUUGCAGUUAAAAAGCUCGUAGUUGAACCUCGCCGCCGGCUCUAGGUCAUCCUCACGGAUUGUACUUAGCGCUUGCGGUUUUGCCCUACUAGUGCGUGCGUUCGCGUGCGUUCAUAGAGGGCGUUUACUGUGAGAAAAUUAGAGUGUUCAAAGCAGGCGUUUCGCUCGUAUACGUUAGCAUGGAAUAAUAGAAUAGGACGAGGGUUCUAUUUUGUUGGUUCUAGGACCGUCGUAAUGAUUAAUAGGGAUGGUCGGGGGCAUCAGUAUUCAGUAGUAAGAGGUGAAAUUCUUUGAUUUACUGAAGACUAACUGCUGCGAAAGCGUUUGCCAAGGACAUCUUCAUUAAUCAAGAACGAAAGUUAGGGGAUCGAAGACGCUUAGAUACCGUCGUAGUCUUAACCGUAAACUAUGCCGACUCUGAAUCGGCCCCUUGACAUUUAUGGGGGGUCGGCGCAGUGUGAGAAAUCAAAGUUUUUAGGUUCUGGGGGGAGUAUGGUCGCAAGGCUGAAACUUAAAGGAAUUGACGGAAGGGCACCACCAGGAGUGGAGCCUGCGGCUUAAUUUGACUCAACACGGGGAAACUCACCAGGUCCAGACACAAUAAGGAUUGACAGAUUGAGAGCUCUUUCUUGAUUUUGUGGGUGGUGGUGCAUGGCCGUUCUUAGUUGGUGGAGUGAUUUGUCUGCUUAAUUGCGAUAACGAACGAGACCUUAACCUACUAAAUAGUGCUGCUAGCUUUUGCUGGUAUAGUCACUUCUUAGAGGGACUAUCGAUUUCAAGUCGAUGGAAGUUUGAGGCAAUAACAGGUCUGUGAUGCCCUUAGACGUUCUGGGCCGCACGCGCGCUACACUGACGGAGCCAACGAGUAUUAACCUUGGCCGAGAGGUCUGGGAAAUCUUGUGAAACUCCGUCGUGCUGGGGAUAGAGCAUUGUAAUUAUUGCUCUUCAACGAGGAAUUCCUAGUAAGCGCAAGUCAUCAGCUUGCGUUGAUUACGUCCCUGCCCUUUGUACACACCGCCCGUCGCUACUACCGAUUGAAUGGCUUAGUGAGGCCUCCGGAUUGGUUAAAGAAGGGGGCAACUCCAUCUGACCCCAAUUG